rnacentral:rRNA from 1 species
AGAGUUUGAUCCUGGCUCAGAACGAACGCUGGCGGCGCGUCUUAAACAUGCAAGUCGAACGGUAAGGAAGGAGCUUGCUCCUUUCUGAGAGUGGCGGACUGGUGAGUAACACGUGGGUGACAUACCUUUUAGAUGGGGAUAGCUAUUAGAAAUAGUAGGUAAUACCGAAUGUGACCGUAUCUGUUAGAGGGAUACGAGGAAAGGAGCUAAGGCUUCGCUAAAAGAAUGGCCCGCGGCCCAUUAUGCUCGUUGGUGAGGUAACGGCCCACCAAGGCGAUGAUGGGUAUCCGGCCUGAGAGGGUGGACGGACACAUUGGGACUGAGAUACGGCCCAGACUUCUACGGGAGGCAGCAGUUAAGAAUAUUCCGCAAUGGACGAAAGUCUGACGGAGCGACGCCGCGUGGAUGAAGAAUGCCGAAAGGUUGUAAAAUCCUUUUAAGCCUGAGGAAUAAGCACAGUAGGGAAUGAUUGUGCGGUGACUGUAGGGCUUGAAUAAGCACCGGCAAAUUACGUGCCAGCAGCCGCGGUAACACGUAAGGUGCGAGCGUUGUUCGGAAUUAUUGGGCGUAAAGGGCAUGUAGGCGGAUGAGCAAGCUUGGUGUGAAAUGCUACAGCUUAACUGUGGGACAGCAUUGAGAACUGCACAUCUUGAAUUACUGAAGGGUAACUAGAAUUCCACGUGUAGGGGUGAAAUCUGUAGAUAUGUGGAAGAAUACCAAUGGCGAAGGCAAGUUACCGGCAGAUAAUUGACGCUGAGGUGCGAAAGUGCGGGGAGCGAACAGGAUUAGAUACCCUGGUAGUCCGCACAGUAAACGAUGUACACUAGGUGUCUGGCAACAAAGCUGGGUGCCAAAGCAAACGUGGUAAGUGUACCGCCUGGGGAGUAUGCCCGCAAGGGUGAAACUCAAAGGAAUUGAC